AUUGAACGCUGGCGGCAUGCUUUACACAUGCAAGUCGAACGGCAGCAUGACCUAGCUUGCUAGGUUGAUGGCGAGUGGCGAACGGGUGAGUAAUGCAUCGGAACGUAUCCAAUAAUGGGGGAUAACGCAUCGAAAGGUGUGCUAAUACCGCAUACGCCCUGAGGGGGAAAGUGGGGGAUCUUCGGACCUCACGUUAAUGGAGCGGCCGAUGUCUGAUUAGCUAGUUGGUGGGGUAAAGGCUCACCAAGGCGACGAUCUGUAGCUGGUCUGAGAGGAUGAUCAGCCACACUGGAACUGAGACACGGCCCAGACUCCUACGGGAGGCAGCAGUGGGGAAUUUUGGACAAUGGGCGCAAGCCUGAUCCAGCCAUGCCGCGUGAGUGAAGAAGGCCUUCGGGUUGUAAAGCUCUUUCGCAAGGGAAGAAAACUUAGCUCCUAAUACGAGCUGAGGAUGACGGUACCUUGAUAAGAAGCACCGGCUAACUACGUGCCAGCAGCCGCCGUAACAC
rnacentral:rRNA from 1 species